AGAGUUCGAUUCUGGCUCAGGAUGAACGCUAGCUACAGGCUUAACACAUGCAAGUCGAGGGGAAACGACAGUAAAGCUUGCUUUAUUGGGCGUCGACCGGCGCACGGGUGCGUAACGCGUAUCCAACCUGCCCCCAACUCCGGAAUAGUCCCCCGAAAGGGGGGUUAACGCCGGAUGCUGCAAUUUUUCCGCAUGGUGAAAUUGCGAAAUGAAAAAGGUUGGGGCUGGGGAUGCGUCCCAUUAGGUAGUAGGCGGGGUAACGGCCCACCUAGCCGACGAUGGGUAGGGGUUCUGAGAGGAAGGUCCCCCACAUUGGAACUGAGACACGGUCCAA
rnacentral:rRNA from 1 species